ACUGCAUAAUGAGCACUUAAA
rnacentral:miRNA from 1 species